GAUGAACGCUGGCGGCGUGCCUAAUACAUGCAAGUCGAGCGAACAGACGAGGCGCUUGCUCCUCUGACGUUAGCGGCGGACGGGUGAGUAACACGUGGAUAACCUACCUAUAAGACUGGGAUAACUUCGGGAAACCGGAGCUAAUACCGGAUAAUAUAUUGAACCGCAUGGUUCAAUAGUGAAAGACGGUUUUGCUGUCACUUAUAGAUGGAUCCGCGCCGCAUUAGCUAGUUGGGAAGGUAACGGCUUACCAAGGCGACGAUGCGUAGCCGACCUGAGAGGGUGAUCGGCCACACUGGAACUGAGACACGGUCCAGACUCCUACGGGAGGCAGCAGUAGGGAAUCUUCCGCAAUGGGCGAAAGCCUGACGGAGCAACGCCGCGUGAGUGAUGAAGGUCUUCGGAUCGUAAAACUCUGUUAUUAGGGAAGAACAAAUGUGUAAGUAACUAUGCACGUCUUGACGGUACCUAAUCAGAAAGCCACGGCUAACUACGUG
rnacentral:rRNA from 1 species